UGUAUCAAUAUAGUUGAGGAAGGUACUUAAAAAGGAAUAGGUGGAAAUGGUAGAUGUCAAGUGGGUAUAUAUUUCAAUUCAAGUUGAUUAAGCCAUAAUUCCAAUGUAGUAGAAGUGGGCUUUGGGGUUUGCAGGGGGAUGGUUGUAUGGUUCACUUUCCUCCAUUCUAUUUCUACUAAUGGGCUUGUGCUGCUAAACGCUUUGUGUUCAUCCUAGGAUAUCAACUGGACACUUGUUCUGAUAUAAUUGGAUUGCUAUUGAAUGUAACUUGAGCAUGAACUAGAACUAGAUCAAUGAUUUUAGCCAAGGAAGCCCUAGCUUCAUGCUGAUAAAAAAGGGCAACAAAAAAAAAAUCGGUUCAAUUAGUAUG
rnacentral:misc_RNA from 1 species